rnacentral:rRNA from 1 species
AACGAACGCUGGCGGCAUGCCUAACACAUGCAAGUCGAACGAGACCUUCGGGUCUAGUGGCGCACGGGUGCGUAACGCGUGGGAACCUGCCCUUAGGUUCGGAAUAACUCCCCGACAGGGGUGCUAAUACCGGAUAAUGUCUUCGGACCAAAUAUUUAUCUCGUUUGGAUGGGCCCGCGUUGGAUUAGCUAGUUGGUAGGGUAAAAGCCUACCAAGGCGACGAUCCAUAGCUGGUCUGAGAGGAUGAUCAGCCACACUGGGACUGAGACACGGCCCAGACUCCUACGGGAGGCAGCAGUGGGUAAUAUUGGACAAUGGGCGAAAGCCUGAUCCAGCAAUGCCGCGUGAGUGAUGAAGGCCUUAGGGUUGUAAAGCUCUUUUACCCGGGAUGAUAAUGACAGUACCGGGAGAAUAAGCUCCGGCUAACUCCGUG